rnacentral:rRNA from 1 species
UGGGGUAUAUUGGACAAUGGGCGAAAGCCUGAUCCAGCCAUGCCGCGUGUGUGAAGAAGGUCUUCGGAUUGUAAAGCACUUUAAGUUGGGAGGAAGGGCAGUAAGCGAAUACCUUGCUGUUUUGACGUUACCGACAGAAUAAGCACCGGCUAACUCUGUGCCAGCAGCCGCGGUAAUACAGAGGGUGCAAGCGUUAAUCGGAAUUACUGGGCGUAAAGCGCGCGUAGGUGGUUCGUUAAGUUGAAUGUGAAAGCCCCGGGCUCAACCUGGGAACUGCAUCCAAAACUGGCGAGCUAGAGUAGGGCAGAGGGUGGUGGCAUUUCCUGUGUAGCGGUGAAAUGCGUAGAUAUAGGAAGAAACACCAGUGGCGAAGGCGACCACCUGGGCUCAUACUGACACUGAGGUGCGAAAGCGUGGGGAGCAAACAGG